rnacentral:rRNA from 1 species
UGGACUUUAUUUGCGCAGCAUAGGUGGGAGGCAUUGAGUUUAUUCUUGCGGGAAUUUAGGAGCCAUCAGUGAGAUACCACUCUGGUAAUGUUAGAUUUCUAACUUUGUAUCAUGAUCUGGUCAAAGAGCAGUUUCAGGCGGGCAGUUUGACUGGGGCGGACGCCUCCCAAAUGGUAACGGAGGCGUACAAAGGUUUCCUCUGAACGUGUAGAAAUCGUAUCUAGAGUGUAAAGGCAUAAGGAAGCUUGACUGUGAGACCUACAAGUCGAGCAGGGACGAAAGUCGGUCUUAGUGAUCUGACGGUGCUGAGUGGAAAGGCCGUCACUCAACGGAUAAAAGUUACUCUAGGGAUAACAGGCUGAA